AUCAGGUACAAAUGGAUUGACAUAUGACCAAGAUCAUUCAAUAAAUGUUCUACACACUAGGUGGCGGUCUUUCAGUGUGAUUAUUGUGAUAUUCAGUCAGUGGUGAUGGUGGGAGGAGCCAGUAAAGCUGCUCAUUACUGAUAAAGAGCUGAAUAAAGAGGAAGUAACUAAAGCAGACAGACGUAGAGACAGAGAGAUUCACACAGAGAUCAUUCACCAGAAAGAAGACUGAACUCAACUCACAAUGAAGAUCCUCCUCAUCUUCCUCACUUUCUACCUGAUCUCAGGUAAGAGCUUUUCUCUUUCAUCACUGCAGUAAUGAUGCUGUUUUCUGUUCAUCAGCUUUCUGAUCACAGUAUCAAUCUGAUUGACAGCUGCAGUGAGAUGCUUUAGCGUCACGGGAUAUUCUGGAGGAAGUGUUCUUGUGCGAUCAUGGAAGCGUUGGCACAAAGACAACGCUAAAUACAUGAGAAAGCACCAUAGUGAAAUAAUAAUAACCCAUAGGAAGCAUGAAAAGUGGAUUAAUGAAGGAAGAUUCACUUUAUUUUCCAAUAAUUAUGGAAAGCUCAUGAUCUACAUCAGAGAACUGAACACACAAGAUGCUGGCAGUUACAGGAUUGAGGUUGAAGGCCAGUGGUUCAUUGAAAUGACUUUGAAUGUGGAAGAAGGUCAGUCAUUUUAAAAGUCUUUAAGUAGUAAAAUUUUUGAUCAUUUCAAAAUUUUGUAAAUCCAUAUAUUUAUUUAUGGGAAUGACAGAUGAAUGUUGUGAAGUGUCAAAGAGAGUGAUGGUGAAUAUUGGAGAAACUGCCAAUUUCAGCUGUGAAUAUUCAAAUAAUCACAAUAAUGAUGUAAAGAUCAUAUUCAAAGAAGGAAAAGACUCAAUUGAGACAAUUUACAGCCCAUGGAAGAAGAAAGAAAGAUUCAGUAUUUCUGAUGAAAAACAUACAAACAUCUUCAGUGUGAGAAUUACUGCUGUGACACCAGAUGAUGGNUGCUUUAGCGUCACGGGAUAUUCUGGAGGAAGUGUUCUUGUGGAUCCUGGGAAACCUUGGUUCAGUGCAAAUGUUAAAUGCAUGAAUAAAUUACCUGAGUGGACAAAUAUAAUGAAUAAUACGAAGCAUGACAAAUGGAUCAGUGUUGGAAAAUUCACAUUGUUUCAAAAUAAUGAGGGAAACCUCAUGAUCUACAUCAGAGAUUUGAAGGAGCAUGAUGCUGGAGGAUACUGGAUUGGUGUUCUUUACGAGUGGGGUAUAGAUAUGACUUUACAUGUGGAAGAAGAUUCAUGUUGUAAAGUGUCAAGGAGAGUGAUGGUGAAUAUUGGAGAAACUGCCAAUUUCAGCUGUGAAUAUUUACAGAAUCAUAUUAAUAACCCCAAGAUUAUAUUCAAAGAAGAAAAAGACUCUAUUGAGACGAUUUACAGCAAAUGGAAGAAGAAAGAAAGAUUCAGUAUUUCUGAUGACAAACAUAAAAAGAUCUUCAGUGUAAGAAUCACUGCUGUGACACCAGAUGAUGGAGGAGUUUAUUUAUGUGGAGUUUGGAUCAGCGGAGACUCGUACAGUUACUCCAUUAUUAAUACUAUUCAUCUACAUGUUAUGAGUGAGUAGAACAAACACAUUAAAAUCUUGUUUCUGAAAUUGGCUUUUGUGGCAGAACUGAUUAAUGUUAUUUUUGUGAAGAGUCUGAGUGUCAGGUUCAUGUUUUUGUUUCAGUUCUGUUCUGCCACCUUGUCAAGAUUUGAGUUUCCUUGUUUGUUUGUUUUUCCCCUAAGUUAUUGAUUCUGUUCACUUUUUUGGUUAAUUGUCUCAUUAAUUCUCUUUUUCGGAGCAGUUGUGCCCUACCCUUAUAGUAGUAGUAGUAUACUUUAUUGUCCUCGAGAGGAAAAUUGUUUUGGACUACAAAAUUGCUGCAUGACCUACAUACAAUCUAAACAAACAAUUUAAAAGAUAAAAUAGAAAGAAAACC
ensembl:lncRNA